CCUUAUUCUUCUUCCCCUCAUAUGCUUGCUGAAAUUUAGUAGGAAGAGCACUAGAAAAUUCGCUCAUGAAAUUAUGGAGUUGUUUGGAUUGAUAUAUAUUUGGUGCUUUGAACCAUUGAUGAAGUUGAAAUGAAAGUGUGAGAUAGUUGUUGCUAUGGAUUUCUGCAAGAGAUGAUUGCUACCAGAAUAAGGUACUUUGGAGUCAUUUGGAACAAAAGAAGAAGAAACGUCGCUCAAAAGGACAAGACGGAUUAUUUCUCAUUAUUUGCUUUUAUGUCUUCAUCUCUGUCUGAAAAGUAUGUCGACUUUAGUGAUGCAAAUUUCUGUCUGAAAAGCACGACUGCUUUAGUGAUGAAUAGAAAUUGAAGAGAUGAAGUAGGUCUGAGAAGUAAGAGGCAACUGCUGUUGGUGGAGCGAAAUAAGGAGAAAUCAUUCACAAAGGGGCAAUUCACACGCGAGCUAUACUUUGAGAAGGCUAAGGUGCGGGCGAAGGAGGUGAAUUAGGUUGUCGGUUUCCUGAAACUGACAAUCCAAGUAUCACCGUGGUGGCCUGCGUCAACUCUUGGGGUGCCUAGAGUCAUCUGGGUACCCCUUAUCUGCCUCACCUGGAUAGUUGUAUCACUUUCAUUUCCUACAACCCUAAAAUCUAUACUCAUCAUUACAUUCGACCACAAAUUCAGAGAUGAGAAAACGACUGCUGUAAGAAAGAACAACACGGAGAGAAGAAGACUAUGAAGAUUCAGAUCGGGAAUUAAAAGAAGAGCUGAAGUGAUGCUGGCGUGUAGUUGUUGCCAUCAAUUGAAGCAAGAAAUUCGAGAAGAAGGUAGGGUUUGCCAGAUGAAAUUCAUGGGGUUGAUGGCUGAAGUUCUCGUCAAUUUUGAGGAAGAAUGAUUAAUGGGGUUCUUGAGUUCGAGUUUGGACGUUGCUGGUGAAGAUGAAGUUGAUGAUUUAUUGAACUGUGGCUUAAAUUGAACAAGAUUAGGGUUCUCAUGAUGAUUUAGGUGAAACUGUGAAGCAGAUGGAAAGAAUUUGAAGUAUGGUUUAUGGGUUGAAGACUGAAUCGAAAUGGAGUUAGGGUUUAGUCAACUGAGUGAUUUCAGUUAAUGGGUUUUUGCAGUUGUUGUUGUUGUUUGCGGUGUUGAUGAUGGUUAGAUUCAAACUUCGAUGGUUGGUUGAGAAAUAUGGGUUGUUCUGGAUCUGAAUCCGAGAGAAGAAAUUGAUGUUGUUGAGUACAAAGAAGAUUAAGAAGCUGAGGCCAUGGAUUAAUGGGUAUCUGAGAUGAUUCUCAGGGUUUGUCGAGAUAAGUUAUGAUUAAGCAGGAGAUGAAAUUGCAAGAGAUAGCUGCAAUCUGGUGAUGCUCAAGUGAAUGCUUAGAAUGAAUCAGAAUAAGCCUGUGCAGCUGGAGUUGUUGUUCAGCAGAGGGUUUUGGUAUUGAAGUUGGAGCCAGUGUCGGUAGUGGUUGAAAUGGAACAGAAACCUACAAGGCUGAAGAGUGAGUUGGAGUCAAGGGCGUGCGCUGAAAUGUGCUAUGGCAGUGUAGUUUUGCUGCUAGAGAUGGGCUGUGAAUGACUGAACGAUUGCGGAGUCUGGAAGAGCAAGUAUUGACGAUUGCAGGGCGCAAGUGGCGGUGAUUGCAGAGGAUGAAUGAAACUAUUGAUGGCAGAUGCAUUCAGAGAGAAGCUGCAGAGUAGUGGAGGCCGGUGCUGUUGAUGAUUAUUGGUAUCGCAGGUCUGAGGCUGUAGGGUGCUGCAAUGGGUAUUUCAGCUGAGCUGAAAUAGAAUUGGAUUAAACUGUGUUGGUGGUACUGGAGGAUUAUUGUGAAAUUAGAUGUAUGCCUAGGUCAGGUACAAAUUAGCAGGUAAUGAUGAUUGCAACUGUACAUGGGAGGUCCUUUGAGCUAAAGGGUUAAGAGUUAUUGGAGUUGCACCUGCUGAUCAGUUUUAACAAAGCUGAAAUACAAUUGAAGGUGCAACAUCUGAGAUUACAAGGGUUGAGCAUUGCAGAUGCAAGUUAGUACUGUUAACUUGUUGCAGUUGUUGCAGUUAGCUGCAGUUGGGAGAUAUUGCAUCACAGAACUGCCUGAAGUGGAGCACUGGUUGGUGGUAAUGAAGUAACUAAGAAUGAAUGUGAUGGUAUUGAUUAUGUUGUUUACUUAUGGAACUGAUGAUGAAGUUGGUGGUGAUUUUGAGCAGGUGGUUGUGGUGAUUGCCAUGGGUCUGAAUGAGGGCUCAAGUGCAGAUGGAAAAGAUAGCAGGUGUUUGAGAAAUGCAGCUGAAUUGCAGGCUAUAAACAAUGGGUUAGUGGACUGACUAAGAUGGAGUAGCAGGGAUGAGUGCAGGGCCAUCAUGGCUGGACUGAGUUGUGUGAUGCACCAUCGUUGUGCAACACACAGUUCUGGCUUGUGCAAGACUAUGGUCUGACAAGUCAGAUCAGUUACUCUGACUCAGCUGAGUUGUUUGACUCAGCCACUGACUCGGUCUGACUUUGAUCGAGUUGACUCGUCUGACCUUGACCGAGUUGACCCGUUUGACCGGUGACUGGGCGGACUUUGCCGGUCACCUAAGAUACUUCUCCGGCCAACUUCCGGCCACGAUUUUGCAGAGUUUCUACAUGGGUUUUUCUCACUUUUGGGCCACGUGGAUUUUUAUCUAAUGGAAUUUGAAGACUUGGACCUAAUUUUGGAACAAGAGGAGCUAUAAAAGAGAAGACUUCUACAAUUUAUAGGACGACGUAUUAUUCUUGAAGCUAAGGAGAGAGAUGCUUUGCUUUGCUUUCAUCUUAUUUAUUUGAUUAUUGAUUAUGAUGAACUCCAUAGCUAUGAGGAGCUAAUUUAUUAUUUAUUGGUUAAGGAUGUAGUCUUAUUUUUAAAA